GUCCUGUGUUUCAGGGUUCUUUGAUGUUGAUCGGUAUCGAUCGAUCAACAAGACCUGGUAAGACGGGUCAACGGCUGUUCUUUAAAAAUUCAUAGAGUCGAAUCAGCGUUGCUGAUGGAAAGCACACAUUCGUAAAGGUUUAGUGUACACCGUGCCAUCAGCAACAUUUUUUGAUCGCGUCAACGAAUAUUCAAUUUAGUCGAAAGAUAUGAAUUGAAACGGCAUAACGCGUCAGGUGAGAGACCUGACAGACAUUUGCUUGAUUUGAUUUUGCGUUGCAAGACGUCAAAGUUAUAGGGUCAAGUGAAUAAGAGCAUGUGGUGGAUGCCUUGGCGAUGAUAGGCGACGAAGGACGUGAUAGCCUGCGAUAAGCUUCGGGGAGCUGGCAAAUAAGCUUUGAUCCGGAGAUUUCCGAAUGGGGAAACCCACCUAGCAGUAGGUAUCGCAUGAUGAAUACAUAGUCAUGCGAGGCGAACCGGGUGAACUGAAACAUCUCAGUA
rnacentral:rRNA from 1 species